GGGUGUCCACACAGUCGUGUGGCAGGUUUUGCGAUGGUCGGGCCGCCACG
rnacentral:ncRNA from 2 species